GCACCUGCAGCCUGGGGAGGAAGUUGUCCAAAGUCCCUAUUGCCCUCACCCCUUGCAGAUGCCUUCUGGAAACACAGCCAGAUGCCAAGAACUGGCAUUGUUGAUUCUAGCCCGGUGUGUAAGUCUGGCUUGCUCGCUAACUUUGCUGAAUGGCCUGACAAGUCAUUUAGCCUCUCUUGAGCCUCAGUUUUCCCAUCUGAAAAUGGGAUACACGAAGGCUUAAUCCACAGAUAUUAAGAGGAGCUAAGGGGUAGAAACUUGCACUUGUGUCUGUUUGGUUCAUAUUGACAUGCCCAGGGUUUCUACACCUAGCUGUCAUCCUGUAGGCCCUGUUUCUUAGACUAUGGUGUGAAUGGUGCACCUGGAGUUGUGGCCCAGUUGGGCAGUUCCCUUAGACUUCAUUAUCACUUCACCAUAUAAACAGCCUCUGCAAUUCAGAAACAGGGACUGGCUCCUUAUUUAAAGCAUUAAUUUGAACUUGGGACUGGUUCCUUAUUUAAAGCAUUUAUUUGAACUUUUAUAGCUUAAUAUCACUUCUCCCCUUUUAGAGGCUGCUUUCUUUCUUAGCAGCUCUUUGGAACUGUGGGACACUUAACAGUAUUCUAUUUCCUCAGAUACCUGCAUCCAUGCUGAUAUGUGCAGUGAACACCCAUACACGCAUUUCCACUUCUCAUGGUGGAGACGAAUUGGAGCAUUGCUAUUCAUAGGAAGGCCUUUUCAGACAUAGACAAGACUAAAUUCAUAUCCCAGCGUUAGCAAUUUAUGCAUUGAGCACACUUGAGCCAGUUGCCUUAACUUCUGUGAACUCCAGGUGUCUCAGCAGUAAACUUCAGAAAAUUAGACGUGCUUCAUGGAGUAUUUGUGAGCAGUAAAUAGGAUGGUCAUAUAAAGCCUUGACUAGCGCCUCACACAUAGUACAUUUUCAAAAUGAUGGUUUUUAUUAUUUUUGGUUAAACACAGAUGUGACCUUUAUUCCAUUUUCUGGAAUAAAGAAGAAUGCUUAGACUUCAGACUCCCUAAAGAGAGAACACUUUGCAAACUGUGGUAUGCCAUUUGUUUGAAUGGGGUUAUUAGUAAUAUUGGUGAUACCAUCCAUUGUAACUAAAAAUGUGGCUAUCCCAUGUCACUUAAAAACACGGGGCUUCCUCAGUGGUGUAGACUAAGUUCUUUGGAAGUUCAGUGGUGACGGAGGAGACUUUAAACAAAUGGCCAAGUAGAGCCCUUGAGGAUAGGAGCAUGUCUCAGGUUUCUCAAGCCUGGUUGAAGUAUGGAUUGCUGGAGAGGUAGAGGAUGUCUGUCAGAGAAUAUCCAAGGAGGAAUGUGCCAUGUGAGAAGGAACCGUGUGAAACAAAUGUCCAUCAUAGCAGGAAAGAAUUGAGGACCUAGUGAGUUGGUCCUUCAGCGAAACCCAGAGAACCUGGGCGAGGACGUGGUUCCACUGCUUCGCCAUCACUCAUUCAUUUAUCUAUCCAUUCAGCAAACAUUUAUUGUACUCGUGUUUUGUGUCUCUGUUUUGUGUAUUGGGAAACAGCGUGAACAACAGCAACAAAAAAAAGAUGGAACCCCCUUCCCUCUGGUUCUCUCCAUUCUGUCAUAGGAGUUAGGGGAGAGAUGAUAAAUAAAUAAGUACAGAUGUUAGGAUGUGAUAAAUGCUGCACAUUUAUUCACCGUGACUAUAUGCCAGGCCCACUGUCCUUCAGUCUUUGACAACCAUUGUCAGUGGCUUGUGUUAGUUAAUAUCUCUAAAACAGGCACUGAGCCAUGUUAACAGGUUCCUUUGUUCUAGGCUGGUCCGGGGAGAUCCCUCACUUAGGGCUCUUCCAUUCUUGCCUUGGUGAAGACAUACUGGAUUCAUUUCAAGUUCUCUGCUAGCAGAUCAUAGCCAUGGGGUUGGUGUAGAAAGGGUUGGUUUGGAUGGGAACUCUGCUAACCCGGUGAGAUGUACCAAAGUGAGCACAUUUUUUCCCCAAGUGCAUUUACACUAUUAUGACUUAGAAACUAAAGAACAAAUAAGAAUCGUGGAGGUGGAAAAUAAAAAAGGAAAAGGGGAAAAGAAGGCAUAAAUGAGAGAAAAUGAGUCAUGCUUGCUGGGAGAUUUCUCUUCCUGCUGUUACAUCUCCAGCCAGGAGUUUCUCUCCCCUUACCACUGUGAGGGGAAGCCGCGUACUCAGGCCUCAGUAUGGUGGACGCCCCAUUCCCCACCAAGCUGGAUCCUCCCAGGUAGACUUCAGAGUGCUGUGCUGGCAGUGAGAAUUUCAAGCCAGUGGAUCUUAGCUUGCUGGCAUCCGUGUGUGCUGUUGGGGGAAUCCGCUGAGCUAGACCACUGGCUCCCUGGCUUCAGUCUCCUUUCCAGGGAAUUGAACGGUUCUGUCUCGCUGGGGUUUCAGGUGCCACAGAGCAUGGAAAAA